UACGUAGGCAGCGAGCGUUGUUCGGAGUUACUGGGCGUAAAGCGUGCGUAGGCGGUCCCACAAGUCUGUUGUGAAAUCUCCCGGCUCAACUGGGAGGGUGCGGUGGAAACUGUGGGGCUGGAGUAUGGGAGAGGUAGGCGGAAUUCCUGGUGUAGCGGUGAAAUGCGUAGAUAUCAGGAGGAACACCGGUGGCGAAGGCGGGUCUCUGGGCCGAUACUGACGCUGAGGAGCGAAAGCGUGGGGAGCGAACAGG
rnacentral:rRNA from 1 species